GACGAACGCUGGCGGCGUGCCUAAUACAUGCAAGUAGAACGCUGAAGGAGGAGCUUGCUUCUCUGGAUGAGUUGCGAACGGGUGAGUAACGCGUAGGUAACCUGCCUGGUAGCGGGGGAUAACUAUUGGAAACGAUAGCUAAUACCGCAUAAUAGCAGUUGUUGCAUGAUAACUGUUUGAAAGGUGCAAUUGCACCACUACCAGAUGGACCUGCGUUGUAUUAGCUAGUUGGUGGGGUAACGGCUCACCAAGGCGACGAUACAUAGCCGACCUGAGAGGGUGGUCCGCCACACUGGGACUGAGACACGGCCCAGACUCCUACGGGGAGCAGCAGUAGGGAAUCUUCGGCAAUGGACGGAAGUCUGACCGAGCAACGCCGCGUGAGUGAAGAAGGUUUUCGGAUCGUAAAGCUCUGUUGUAAGAGAAGAACGAGUGUGAGAGUGGAAAGUUCACACUGUGACGGUAUCUUACCAGAAAGGGACGGCUAACUACGUG
rnacentral:rRNA from 1 species